AGAGUUUGAUCCUGGCUCAGGAUGAACGCUAGCUACAGGCUUAACACAUGCAAGUCGAGGGGCAGCAUGGUCUUAGCUUGCUAAGACUGAUGGCGACCGGCGCACGGGUGAGUAACACGUAUCCAACCUGCCGUCUACUCUUGGACAGCCUUCUGAAAGGAAGAUUAAUACAAGAUGGCAUCAUGAGUCCGCAUGUUCACAUGAUUAAAGGUAUUCCGGUAGACGAUGGGGAUGCGUUCCAUUAGAUAGUAGGCGGGGUAACGGCCCACCUAGUCUUCGAUGGAUAGGGGUUCUGAGAGGAAGGUCCCCCACAUUGGAACUGAGACACGGUCCAAACUCCUACGGGAGGCAGCAGUGAGGAAUAUUGGUCAAUGGGCGGGAGCCUGAACCAGCCAAGUAGCGUGAAGGAUGACUGCCCUAUGGGUUGUAAACUUCUUUUAUAAAGGAAUAAAGUCGGGUAUGCAUACCCGUUUGCAUGUAUUUUAUGAAUAAGGAUCGGCUAACUCCGUGCCAGCAGCCGCGGUAAUACGGAGGAUCCGAGCGUUAUCCGGAUUUAUUGGGUUUAAAGGGAGCGUAGAUGGAUGUUUAAGUCAGUUGUGAAAGUUUGCGGCUCAACCGUAAAAUUGCAGUUGAUACUGGAUAUCUUGAGUGCAGUUGAGGCAGGCGGAAUUCGUGGUGUAGCGGUGAAAUGCUUAGAUAUCACGAAGAACUCCGAUUGCGAAGGCAGCCUGCUAAGCUGCAACUGACAUUGAGGCUCGAAAGUGUGGGUAUCAAACAGGAUUAGAUACCCUGGUAGUCCACACGGUAAACGAUGAAUACUCGCUGUUUGCGAUAUACGGCAAGCGGCCAAGCGAAAGCGUUAAGUAUUCCACCUGGGGAGUACGCCGGCAACGGUGAAACUCAAAGGAAUUGACGGGGGCCCGCACAAGCGGAGGAACAUGUGGUUUAAUUCGAUGAUACGCGAGGAACCUUACCCGGGCUUAAAUUGCAGAUGAAUUACGGUGAAAGCCGUAAGCCGCAAGGCAUCUGUGAAGGUGCUGCAUGGUUGUCGUCAGCUCGUGCCGUGAGGUGUCGGCUUAAGUGCCAUAACGAGCGCAACCCUUGUUGUCAGUUACUAACAGGUUCUGCUGAGGACUCUGACAAGACUGCCAUCGUAAGAUGUGAGGAAGGUGGGGAUGACGUCAAAUCAGCACGGCCCUUACGUCCGGGGCUACACACGUGUUACAAUGGGGGGUACAGAGGGCCGCUACCACGCGAGUGGAUGCCAAUCCCCAAAACCUCUCUCAGUUCGGACUGGAGUCUGCAACCCGACUCCACGAAGCUGGAUUCGCUAGUAAUCGCGCAUCAGCCACGGCGCGGUGAAUACGUUCCCGGGCCUUGUACACACCGCCCGUCAAGCCAUGGGAGCCGGGGGUACCUGAAGUGCGUAACCGCGAGGAGCGCCCUAGGGUAAAACUGGUGACUGGGGCUAAGUCGUAACAAGGUA
rnacentral:rRNA from 1 species